UACGUAGGGGGCGAGCGUUAUCCGGAUUUAUUGGGCGUAAAGCGUGUGUAGGCGGUUUAUUAGGUCAGGCGUAAAAGAUCACAGCUCAACUGUGUAGGGCGUUUGAAACCGGUAGACUUGAAUACGGUAGAGGCAGGUGGAAUUCCAUGUGUAGCGGUGGAAUGCGUAGAUAUAUGGAGGAACACCAAUGGCGAAGGCAACCUGCUGGGCCGGAAUUGACGCUGAGACACGAAAGCGUGGGGAGCAAACAGG
rnacentral:rRNA from 1 species